GUGGAUUAGAUACCCUGGUAGUCCACGCUGUAAACGAUGGGUACUAGGCUUCGUGGGAGUUGACCCCUGCGGAGCCGGAGCUAACGCAAUAAGUACCCCGCCUGGGAAGUACGGUCGCAAGACUAAAACUCAAAGGAAUUGACGGGAGCCCGCACAAGCGGUGGAUUAUGUGGUUUAAUUCGAAGCAACGCGCAGAACCUUACCUAGGUUUGACAUCCUUUGACAAUUGCAGAGAUGCAACUUUUGUAGCAAUACAACAAAGAGACAGGUGCUGCACGGCUGUCGCCAACU
rnacentral:rRNA from 1 species